AUUGAACGCUGGCGGCAUGCUUUACACAUGCCAGUCGAACGGUAACAGGCCGCAAGGUGCCGACGAGUGGCGAACGGGUGAGUAAUGCAUCGGAACGUGCCCAGUCGUGGGGGAUAACUACUCGAAAGAGUAGCUAAUACCGCAUACGAUCUAUGGAUGAAAGCGGGGGACCGUAAGGCCUCGCGCGAUUGGAGCGGCCGAUGUCAGAUUAGGUAGUUGGUGGGGUAAAGGCUCACCAAGCCAACGAUCUGUAGCUGGUCUGAGAGGACGACCAGCCACACUGGGACUGAGACACGGCCCAGACUCCUACGGGAGGCAGCAGUGGGGAAUUUUGGACAAUGGGCGCAAGCCUGAUCCAGCAAUGCCGCGUGCAGGAAGAAGGCCUUCGGGUUGUAAACUGCUUUUGUACGGAACGAAACGGCUCUGGUUAAUACCCGGGGCUAAUGACGGUACCGUAAGAAUAAGCACCGGCUAACUACGUG
rnacentral:rRNA from 1 species